CGUAGGGUCCGAGCGUUGUCCGGAAUUAUUGGGCGUAAAGAGCUCGUAGGCGGUUUGUCGCGUCUGCUGUGAAAUCCCGAGGCUCAACCUCGGGCCUGCAGUGGGUACGGGCAGACUGGAGUGCGGUAGGGGAGAAUGGAAUUCCUGGUGUAGCGGUGGAAUGCGCAGAUAUCAGGAGGAACACCGAUGGCGAAGGCAGUUCUCUGGGCCGUAACUGACGCUGAGGAGCGAAAGCGUGGGGAGCGAACAGGAUUAGAUACCCUGGUAGUCCACGCCGUAAACGUUGGGCGCUAGAUGCGGGGACCUUUCCACGGUUUCCGUGUCGUAGCUAACGCAUUAAGCGCCCCGCCUGGGGAGUACGGCCGCAAGGCUA
rnacentral:rRNA from 1 species